rnacentral:lncRNA from 1 species
UUUUUUUUUUUUUUUUUUUUUUUGCUUGUCUGAUGUGCGAGCACAGGUGCCAGUCCAAUUGCUUCGUAUCACGGAAUAGUGUUUUAAAUUCAUCAAUGUUCUAGUUAAUGUCUACCUCAGCACCUCCUCUUAGCCUAAUUCUAGGAGGUUGCCCAAUUUUGUUUCUUCAAUUUUAUUGGUUCUUUUGGUUGUUGUACAAAUCACUCUUCCCACCCUUGACUCCUCCCUCUUUCACCUCUCUCUUGUCUCUCCCCUCACCCUCUCCUUUCCUCACAUCCGGCCUCCUUCCAGUUAGCCCCAUCCCCCCCCCCCUUUGCCUUCACUUUCCUCUAGUCCAGAUUGCUUUCUGUCCACUUGGAAGUGUGCUCCCCACCCCGUUGCCGCUUACCCACACCUGCCUUCGUUCUGUGUAGAUUGACGCGUUUCUUUGUAACUUCAGUGUUUCUGACAAGACUUUAAAAAAAAAAAAAGGAAAAAAAAUGAAUUUACUGCUGCAGGUUUUUUUCUCCAUGUGUCACUAAGUGAAGUUUGUGCCUUCUAUAGCAAAGAGAAUAUUUUUUACAUCCUACUAACAGUAGAUUUUUUUGUAGUGAACAUUUUUUGUAUUUUUAUUUAUAAGUCUCAUAAGAAAAAUAGCGAUGUUCAGUUGUAUACCUUGAAUCUGCAGUUAGAAGAGAAUAAAGUUAAUUCAGUUG